rnacentral:rRNA from 1 species
UGAGGAAUAUUGCGCAAUGGGGGAAACCCUGACGCAGCAACGCCGCGUGGGUGAUGAAGGCUUUCGGGUCGUAAAACCCUUUUCUGGGGGACGAAACCAGACGGUACCCCAGGAAUAAGUCCCGGCUAACUACGUGCCAGCAGCCGCGGUAAAACGUAGGGGGCGAGCGUUAUCCGGAAUUAUUGGGCGUAAAGCGCACGUAGGCGGCAUAGUAAGUUGGACGUGAAAGCUCUCGGCUUAACUGAGAGAGGUCGUUCAAAACUGCGAUGCUUGAGACUAGAAGAGGAGAGCGGAAUUCCCGGUGUAGUGGUGGAAUGCGUAGAUAUCGGGAGGAACACCAGUGGCGAAAGCGGCUCUCUGGUCUACGUCUGACGCUGAGGUGCGAAAGCGUGGGGAGCGAACG